rnacentral:lncRNA from 1 species
AAUAUGCUAAUGACCAAUCCUCUGCAGGCCCAACAUUACUCUGUGAUUUCCAAGCUCAUAGAACCGAUCUCCAGAGGGCAUCUCGAGGCAGUAAUGUCUAUCAAGUGUCGUUUGGGAGGCACAGCGCUAAUAAUGUUUUCUUCUGCUUAAUUUGCUGAAUGAAGCAGAAUCUGUCCAGUUUGCACCCCAGAGCUGCAAUUCCAGGCAUAAAGAACACAGGCAGGACGGUAAACAUUGAAUCCAGCUGGGCUAAGUCCUUUUGUAACAACAUUAAAAUAACAGGGCUUCUGGGCAGCAGGUAUAUUAGAGAAGAGACAUCUUGGAUCUCCAGCAAAGCCCUUAGGUGAGUGAAUGACAUCCUGUCUAAUUAAAUUCACUCACACACACCAGCACAUCAGUGUUUGCUGCCUAUAUUCUAGACGCCAGUGUUUUGAUGGCUUUCUUUUCCUCUCUGUUUUGAAAUAGAAGAUUCUAAACUUCUUGGUAAAGAAUUAGGAAAUUUAAAGAAAGGAAAGGAUAGGAAAGUAAAUAAGACCUUACCUUCGAGCCAGCUCUCCUGAAUGGAAUCCACAUCCAGUCUCAGAAACUGACUGGUUGUGUGACCCCAAAAAGAGUCAACUCGCUUUCCUGGGCUUCAAUACCUUCAGUGUAAAGUAAAACAGGAUAAGAAUUCUCACUAUAAAACUUUAGUAAUUGUGUAAAUCAACAAACUCCUUGCUAUCUAAACUCCCAGUGCCCUUUAUCUGAAAAUCAGGAACCAAGUUGAAUUGGGAAUUUAUCACUCCCCAGUUUUUCUGCCCAGUCUGAGUGUUUUGAUUUGAUGGUGAAAGCCCAGACCACACUGAGUGUUGGCCUUGCAUUUAAUCUAGCUCAUAUGGCAUAAUCUUUCUCCAAUUUCUACUUGACACAGGCUCUUGAAACUGUAACUUAGUUUUAAAAUAAGACUUCGCAUUUUAUUUAUACGUUCAUUUGUUUUUGUAGCAAUUUCUCUCUCUCUCUCUCUCUCUCUCUCUCUCUCUCUCUCUCUCUCUCUCUCUCUCUCUCUGACAUGUAGCCUAGGCUGGCCUGAAAUUCAUUGUGCAGUAAGGAAGAAUGAUCCUCCUACUGGGGUUGUAGGCCGGCAACAUCAUAUUCGACGUACGCAGAGCUGGGGUAGAGCCCAGGGCUUCUGGCAUGCUAGUCACGUGUGGUACUCACUGAACUACAGUCCCAGAGGAUCUUUCUUGGGAAAUAAAAGAAUGUGAAACUCAGGGCUUGUUGGUCUCAUUUCUGGGCCAUCUUUGCAGAAUCCUAAUUGUAGGGAGUAACUUCUGAGCUUCCAAUUCAAUCUUC